AGGAGGAGGCGGCGAAUCACUUAUAAAUGGCGCCCAAGCAGGACCUGAAGCCCAAAUUCCAGGAGGGUGAGAGAGUGCUGUGCUUUCAUGGGCUUCUAGUCUAUGAAGCAAAGUGUGUAAAGGUUGCCAUAAAGGACAAACAAGUGAAAUACUUUAUCCAUUACAGUGGUUUGAAUAAAAAAAGUGCUGGGAGGCCCAGGCGCUCUGAAAAAUCUUUGAAGACACGUGAGGAUAUUGUAGCCCCUUUUCCUGUUCCUGAAGGAGCUCCCUCAGUACACCACCCCCUCCAGACCUCUAGUUGGGAUGAAUGGGUUCCAGAAAGCCGAGUACUCAAAUAUGUGGACACCAAUUUGCAGAAACAGCGAGAGCUUCAAAAGGCCAAGCAGGAACAGUAUGCAGAGGGCAAGAUGAGAGGGGCUGCUCCAGGAAAGAAGACAUCUGGUCUGCAACAGAAAAAUGUUGAAGUGAAAACAAAAACGACCAAGCAGAAAACACCCAGAAAUGGAGAUGGUGGCAGUACCAGUGAGACACCUCAGCCUCUUAGGAAGAAAAGAGCCCGGGUAGAUCCAACUGUUGAAAAUGAAGAAACAUUCAUGAACAGAGUUGAAGUUAAAGUAAGGUAAAGUAAAGGUCCUGGAAGAGCUGAAACCAUGGCUGGCGGAUGACUGGGACUUGAUCACCAGACAAAAACAGCUUUUUUAUCUUCCUGCCAAGAAGAAUGUGGAUUCCAUUUUGGAGGAUUAUGCAAACUAUAAGAAGUCUCGAGGAAAUACAGAUAAUAAGGAAUAUGCUGUUAAUGAGGUUGUGGCAGGGAUAAAGGAGUACUUCAAUGUAAUGCUGGGCACUCAGCUACUCUACAAAUUUGAGAGACCACAGUACACUGAGAUUCUUGCAGAUCGCCUGAUGCACCCAUGUCCCAGGUGUAUGGAGCACCACAUUUACUGAGAUUACUUAUGCGAAUUAGAGCGAUGUUGGCCUAUACACCUCUAGAUGAGAAAAGUCUUGCUUUAUUACUGAACUGUCUACAUGAUUUCCUCAAGUACCUGGCAAAGAAUUCUGCAACUUUGUUCAGUGCCAGUGAUCAUGAAGUGGCUCCUCCUGAGUACCAUCGGAAAGCCGUGUGAGGGGCA